AGCGGCGGACGGGUGAGUAACACGUGGGUAACCUGCCUGUAAGACUGGGAUAACUCCGGGAAACCGGGGCUAAUACCGGAUGGUUGUUUGAACCGCAUGGUUCAAACAUAAAAGGUGGCUUCGGCUACCACUUACAGAUGGACCCGCGGCGCAUUAGCUAGUUGGUGAGGUAACGGCUCACCAAGGCAACGAUGCGUAGCCGACCUGAGAGGGUGAUCGGCCACACUGGGACUGAGACACGGCCCAGACUCCUACGGGAGGCAGCAGUAGGGAAUCUUCCGCAAUGGACGAAAGUCUGACGGAGCAACGCCGCGUGAGUGAUGAAGGUUUUCGGAUCGUAAAGCUCUGUUGUUAGGGAAGAACAAGUACCGUUCGAAUAGGGCGGUACCUUGACGGUACCUAACCAGAAAGCCACGGCUAACUACGUGCCAGCAGCCGCGGUAAUACGUAGGUGGCAAGCGUUGUCCGGAAUUAUUGGGCGUAAAGGGCUCGCAGGCGGUUUCUUAAGUCUGAUGUGAAAGCCCCCGGCUCAACCGGGGAGGGUCAUUGGAAACUGGGGAACUUGAGUGCAGAAGAGGAGAGUGGAAUUCCACGUGUAGCGGUGAAAUGCGUAGAGAUGUGGAGGAACACCAGUGGCGAAGGCGACUCUCUGGUCUGUAACUGACGCUGAGGAGCGAAAGCGUGGGGAGCGAACAGGAUUAGAUACCCUGGUAGUCCACGCCGUAAACGAUGAGUGCUAAGUGUUAGGGGGUUUC
rnacentral:rRNA from 1 species